CCUCUGACCACCGGCCACUCUUGGCUUAGUGAUGGCCUUUUCUCUUGAGUGCACCUCCUGUACAUCCUCUUGGCAUCAGGUAAGUCACUUCUGAGCAGUUUCUCCAAUUCUCCAACAUCCUUUCUAUCUUCAGGGUAGGAAAUGGGCAGACACAUAGAUAGGAUUUGGGACUGGGCAAUCUCCACGGUUCAGGAAUAUCCAUCUUGGGAGGCUCUGUAAAACGUGGGCAAUGCCUUCUUCUUUGUCUUAGUUUGAUGAUGGACAGAGAUCACCUCUUGUGUACCUGAAACAUCACUCAAACUCCAGCAAGAAUCAGACCACACACACUAGGAUCAGCCCUUGAUAAUUCACCAAGUCUGAUCCCAAUGUUUUAAAAAUAAAUAUGCAAUGAACAGAAUCUAAACAACUCAUUCAGUUCAACUCCAUGCAUACUAACAUCACUAACUGCUCAGGUAUGAUAACUCAUCAAUAACAAGGCAAUUAGGCUCUUUUUAUGAAUUUUAAAGACAAUAAACAGAGACUAAACAACUCAUCUAAUCAUCUUGACCAAUAUAUAUAAUGCAAUACAAGAUCAGGAGGCUCUCCUAGACCUUUAUCAAUGCAACAAGACAAUGACAGUAGCUAACCAAUCGCCUAGCACAAUACAAACAGAAACAAUUAAUCUAGGACAGGAACUAAACAAUACCAUGCUAGACAACUCCUAGAAAUAAUUUAAGAAACAGAGCAACACACACAAUUUAAGUAUCAUGGGACAGAAACUAGGUUCAACAACUCUAGCAACUUGAACCUGUCCCAAGGAUACCAAACACACCACUCAACACAACCAGACAUAACUACUCAAGCUCUUAUUAAAGGUAGGAGGUUAACUUACAAACAAGGAACCUGAGCUGGUUCCUUGAACCUCCAAGGCACACUGUUCACUUGAACUUGACAGAUUUGGAGUUUGGGAUCUCUACCCCACGCCAUUUCCUUGUGUGUGCUUUCCCUUUAGACCACUCAUGCUUAAGACCCCUCCUUUCUUCCUGAUUACCAGGCGCCACCUUCUGGCACACAGUGAGAGACUCCAUUUUGGGAAGAACUUGAAAAUCACUUGUACAGACUUGGUUUGGAGCAUUGCUUGCCAAACAGCUCCAAAACCUUCUUUCUCUAAGAGAUCUCUUCAGGCUGAACAGGAGAAAGGAUGAUAGACCUUGGGAAGUCUCUGGACACGCCAUGUUUAGUCUUCUUCCUCUUGAAGAGAUUGAACAGCUGGCUGGACAGAAACUCUCCAAUGAUUUGAAAUAACAAUGAGGAUGAGCCUAUGCUUGAAUUGUGGAAGCUUUGAGUUUCAGAUACUAAAGACCUCCUUUAUCUUGAGUUCUGGUGAGUCUCUUCCCUCCUGGAAAAGCUUUAGACCAGAGGAUACAAGGAUGAACAGAAACAGAGAUUUUUGAAGAGAAGUAUGAACUGUAACAGAUUUGCGGAAGCUUUAUGGAUUCUCAGGAGCUUGGAGCUCUGAUACCAUGUAAGAAUAGACAGAUUAUGGUGUGUGAGUGUUGUUGAGAACAGAGAGUGGUCGGAUUGAAAGAGAACAGAGUGAAGACAGUAAGUGAGAAUUAAAGAGACUGCAAUGGAGCAAAAGAGAGAUUAAGUGAGAUUUGAGAGAGUAUGAGAGAGAUUCUUGUAACCAGAGAUUAGGGAGAGUAUAAGAGACUUGAGAAUGGUGAAGAAGAAAGGGGAAACUCCC
rnacentral:lncRNA from 1 species